ACGUAGGGUGCGAGCGUUAAUCGGAAUUACUGGGCGUAAAGCGUGCGCAGGCGGUUCGCUAAGACAGGUGUGAAAUCCCCGGGCUUAACCUGGGAAUGGCGUUUUGAACUGGCAGUCUAGAGUGCGUCAGAGGGGGGUGGAAUUCCACGUGUAGCAGUGAAAUGCGUAGAGAUGUGGAGGAACACCGAUGGCGAAGGCAGCCCCCUGGGCCGAUACUGACGCUCAUGCACGAAAGCGUGGGGAGCAAACAG
rnacentral:rRNA from 1 species